rnacentral:lncRNA from 1 species
AAACUGUCUGUAUUUUGUCUCUUGUCCCUGACCAUUUCUGAGAUGCGAUACCCUGGAUGAAGAUUUUUCUGGACACUGAGUUGUUCUUGGAGAUGAUCAGGCAGUCUGCACCCUGGAAGUGUAAUCUAACUGCUAAGGAGAUAUUAUCUUCGUCCAGUUAAUCCUCAAUUUGCUGUUGCGCUGCAGACUAUCUGAACAGAAUUCAUGAUUUGUGCUUUCAAACAUCUGAGCUGAGAAGAGGAGCCUUUGCAAGUUUUAGUACAUGUGUUUUACCAUCCAUAUUCAUGAAGAAAAUCAGCAUGUAUAGAUGAUCCAAGACAAAUCAAAUUAAGUUCCAGUGUAAAGAUGUGAAGUAAUGACUAGAUUUGGGUUGCAAUUGUCAUUUUGUCCAGACCAGUAUGCAAUCUCAGGAAAGCCAAUAAUGUCAUAGAGGAGAGUUGAAAGCCGGGUUGCCUGUCUUCAAAGCUCAUCAUCUCAGUUACCAGGCUGGAGGUGUCCUAAUAUGGAAUGGGAGGAAGAUGGAGUAGUUACUAGGUCUCCCAUACCCGGUGAUGUACAGUAGUGCUGGAUAGCUCUGGAGAGCAGUUCUGGCUGGCAAAGAAAGCAGCAAGGAUUGCUAGGAACCAUCUCGCCAUUCAAAGCUGAAAGUUGGCUGCAGAGUAGAUUUUGGUUUUCCCCAUGGAUGCUGAAAGAGAAGGGAAGAAUCAUUUCUGACAAUUCUGCAUGGCUUCUGCAUUGCAACUGGAUGUAGAAUCUGCUCCUGUUUGCAUCCAUGUUCCCAGGAUGAAUUUUUAUUGACAGAAGAAAAGGUAGCUGCCUCACCAGCCCAAGGAGAUGGUGCCAUAUUGAAGACUCAAUUUUGGUUUAUUUGGCUGGAAGAAGGGACACUCAGCAAUGUAGGAAACCAAUACAUCUUCCAAUCUGAUGGGAUCUUCAAACUCAUAAGAUUUUCCUAAAUGCUGACUGGAGGGUUUGAGCUGAUAUCCAUGGAACGAGAAUGAUUAUUCGUUUUUUGUGUUUUUUUGGUGCCAGGGAUUGAACUCGGGACCUUGAGCUUGCAAGGCAGGCACUGGAACCACUGAGCUAAAUCCCCGACCUGAGAAUGAUUAUUUGUAAUGCAGACCAUUUUCUUGCCUCCAGCCCAUAGAAAACUGUAUUUUGAGAAUGAUUUGAACUGUAAGAUAAAACUUUACAAUCC